GAUGAACGCUGGCGGCGUGCCUAAUACAUGCAAGUCGAGCGAACAGACGAGGAGCUUGCUCCUCUGACGUUAGCGGCGGACGGGUGAGUAACACGUGGAUAACCUACCUAUAAGACUGGGAUAACUUCGGGAAACCGGAGCUAAUACCGGAUAAUAUAUUGAACCGCAUGGUUCAAUAGUGAAAGACGGCUUUGCUGUCACUUAUAGAUGGAUCCGCGCCGAAUUAGCUAGUUGGUAAGGUAACGGCUUACCAAGGCAACGAUGCGUAGCCGACCUGAGAGGGUGAUCGGCCACACUGGAACUGAGACACGGUCCAGACUCCUACGGGAGGCAGCAGUAGGGAAUCUUCCGCAAUGGGCGAAAGCCUGACGGAGCAACGCCGCGUGAGUGAUGAAGGUGUUCGGAUCGUAAAGCUCUGUUAUUAGGGAAGAACAAAUGUGUAAGUAAAUAUGCACGUCUUGACGGUACCUAAUCAGAAAGCCACGGCUAACUACGUG
rnacentral:rRNA from 1 species